GACGAACGCUGGCGGCGUGCCUAAUACAUGCAAGUCGAGCGGACCGGAUUGGGGCUUGCCUUGAUUCGGUCAGCGGCGGACGGGUGAGUAACACGUGGGCAACCUGCCCGCAAGACCGGGAUAACUCCGGGAAACCGGAGCUAAUACCGGAUAACACCGAAGACCGCAUGGUCUUCGGUUGAAAGGCGGCCUUUGGGCUGUCACUUGCGGAUGGGCCCGCGGCGCAUUAGCUAGUUGGUGAGGUAACGGCUCACCAAGGCGACGAUGCGUAGCCGGCCUGAGAGGGUGACCGGCCACACUGGGACUGAGACACGGCCCAGACUCCUACGGGAGGCAGCAGUGGGGAAUCUUCCGCAAUGGGCGAAAGCCUGACGGAGCGACGCCGCGUGAGCGAAGAAGGCCUUCGGGUCGUAAAGCUCUGUUGUGAGGGACGAAGGAGCGUCGUUCGAAGAGGGCGGCGCGGUGACGGUACCUCACGAGAAAGCCCCGGCUAACUACGU
rnacentral:rRNA from 1 species